rnacentral:rRNA from 1 species
UAAUACCGGAUAAGCCCUUACGGGGAAAGAUUUAUCGCCGAAAGAUCGGCCCGCGUCUGAUUAGCUAGUUGGUGAGGUAAUGGCUCACCAAGGCGACGAUCAGUAGCUGGUCUGAGAGGAUGAUCAGCCACAUUGGGACUGAGACACGGCCCAAACUCCUACGGGAGGCAGCAGUGGGGAAUAUUGGACAAUGGGCGCAAGCCUGAUCCAGCCAUGCCGCGUGAGUGAUGAAGGCCCUAGGGUUGUAAAGCUCUUUUGUGCGGGAAGAUAAUGACGGUACCGCAAGAAUAAGCCCCGGCUAACUUCGUGCCAGCAGCCGCG